AGAGUGGUUAAGAUUUAUAUAGGACUAAAGCCGAACGCCCUCAAAGCCGUUAUACGCAUCCGAAGGUAAGAAGCCCAACAACGAAAGUGGCUUUAUGUUAUCCGAAUCCACGAAAGCUAUGACACAAACUGGGAUUAGAUACCCCACUAUGCCUAGCCGUAAACAUUGAUAGUAAACUACACCCACUAUCCGCCCGGGGACUACGAGCACCAGCUUGAAACCCAAAGGACUUGGCGGUGCUUUAGAUCCACCUAGAGGAGCCUGUUCUAGAACCGAUUACCCCCGUUCAACCUCACCUUUCCUUGUUUUCCCCGCCUAUAUACCACCGUCGUCAGCUUACCCUGUGAAGGACUCAUAGUAAGCAAGAUUGGCAUAGCCCAAAACGUCAGGUCGAGGUGUAGCGUAUGGAAAGGGAAGAAAUGGGCUACAUUCACUAACACAGUGAAACACGAACGAUACACUGAAAUACGUAUCUGAAGGAGGAUUUAGCAGUAAGCAGAAAAUAGAGCGUUCCGCUGAAACUGGCCCUGAAGCGCGCACACACCGCCCGUCACUCUCCCCAAGCUUACUAACCUUAAGUACCUAAAACCCUAAAACUGCAAAGGGGAGGCAAGUCGUAA
rnacentral:rRNA from 1 species